rnacentral:hammerhead_ribozyme from 1 species
AUCCAACUGACAAGUCCUAAAUAGGACGAAACACGUAUCCUGAAU